rnacentral:tRNA from 1 species
GCCUCCGUGGCUCAGCGGUAGACUCCAAGUUAGCUUGGUCUCACGCCAAAGAGCGGCGCUCUCGUAAAGCGCAGGUCGAGGGUUCAACUCCCUUCGGAGGCU